UGUUAGCCUGUGUUAGUUCCUUUUGGCGCUUGUCCCGUCUGGUCUUUGGGUUUGCGUUUUUUUUAGUUCUUGUUGUUUUGCCCUGUGUUUAACCAAGUGUUUAUUUCUAAGUCUAUUCAUGUUUGUUUUCUUUCUUUCAGUGGCGGGAGACUAGGCGCACAUGGUGAGGUCCCCAUACUUAAUGCACUGAGAGAACUGAGACACAAAUGCAGACUGCACUAUUUUUGCUGUGAGGACUGCUGCGUUGCACCCACAGUGAAUAAGUGGUAUCACCCCUGCAUGCUGCUCCGUGUGCUCUGGCUCUCCACAGGGGUCCUCAGAUCACUUUCCUCAGUGAAGGCAAAAUCCAUGAUCGCUCAGUGCUGUCCCACUGUGAAUUUGGCCAGCGUUCGAGUGCUCUAUGGUUGACUACUUGAGCACUUUGCAUAUACAAGGCAUUACGGUCGAGACAUAAAACUGUUGACUGACGUGCAUUUCGGGCUCAGACAGACUGGGUCAUUACAAUCGUCUUACAGUCAUCUGCCACAUGUGGCAUCUUCAUCCUUAGGAGCCCCUUGUCCUGGAUGCAUCUGAUUGACUGGGAGUAUUUAGGCUUCCUGACGACCUGGGGAAAACUUCAUCUGGUUGAUUCUGGUUAAUUCAGCAUCAGCUGCCUGCACGUCACCUCAUGUGUAGGCCAGUAUGCAAACCUUUCCUGUCCGGACACGCUGAUUGGUGGAGCUGGUUGGAUGAUCUGAGAAGAGAGACCCUUUAGGUGUCCCACAGGAUGUGUGUCCUCUGUCCCCGGUUCUGCUCCACAUCUUGAGGAGAGCCGUUGAGGUUUGCCAGACCGCACUGGUUGAACCACCAUCCUGUCUGGUUGUGCUGCGUGCUGCAGCUCUCCACCGUGCGGUUCUCGAUGGAGCAGAAAGGAUUGCAGCCAUCAUUGUCCACAUCUGAGGCACUGAACGGAGCCGUGUCCUGGUUCUGCUCCUGCUCGUAGCCGCGAAAUGCAUCACCUGUGGAAAAAGACAUUCACAGAAAUGCACACAGGCAUGCAGGUGUAUUCUGAAGAACUGGGUUUCGUUGUCCAGGCGGAAGUCAUCAUAUGAUGCAUAUGAGGUGACGUCGUCGUGAGAGACCAGAGCCAUGUGAAGCUGGAACCGAGUGUCUUUCUGGUUUACGAUAUGAAAUACCUUCU